rnacentral:rRNA from 1 species
GCUAACUACGUGCCAGCAGCCGCGGUAAUACGUAGGGCGCAAGCGUUAUCCGGAAUUAUUGGGCGUAAAGAGCUCGUAGGCGGUUUGUCGCGUCUGCCGUGAAAGUCCGGGGCUCAACUCCGGAUCUGCGGUGGGUACGGGCAGACUAGAGUGAUGUAGGGGAGACUGGAAUUCCUGGUGUAGCGGUGAAAUGCGCAGAUAUCAGGAGGAACACCGAUGGCGAUGGCAGGUCUCUGGGCAUUAACUGACGCUGAGGAGCGAAAGCAUGGGGAGCGAACAGGAUUAGAUACCCUGGUAGUCCAUGCCGUAAACGUUGGGCACUAGGUGUGGGGGACAUUCCACGUUUUCCGCGCCGUAGCUAACGCAUUAAGUGCCCCGCCUGGGGAGUACGGCCGCAAGGCUAAAACUCAAAGGAAUUGACGGGGGCCCGCACAAGCGGGGAGCAUGCGGAUUAAUUCGAUGCAACGCGAAGAACCUUACCAAGGCUUGACAU